AUUUCAUUUUUUUAAAUGAAUAAUACUAACAGAUUAAACUACUUUUGGCCAAAGGAUCCAUGGAAUAAGAUUAAAGUGUGUAAUAGAGACCCACAGUGAAGGUGUCAUAAUUCCCAUAAAAUCUAGCGGUCAAACAGGAAAAUGGUUUCAAUCGUUUUUCCACCAUUCAUUUUUCCCCAUAGGGGAUUUUAGAAACACUUAAUAAAGACAGUGUUUUGUGUAGGCUUACCCUGGCGUGACGUUUUGAUAACUGCGCAAAUCUCUUUGCCUGUAAUUACCCGCAAAAAAUGAAAUGCUAAUUAGAUGCUAAUGUAGCUAUCAUACAGAAAGUACUACACACCCUGUCGCAAGCUUUGACGAGGUGGGCUGACCGGGUCUGCAGCUGCCAUUUUCCGGUGGGAAAGAGAAAUGGCCAUGUAUUUACUAGGAAAGGAAGCUCAUCCACCAUGGCAGAAGAGGAAAUGCCGGACUGUUGAAUGGGAAACAAGAACAAACAAUGAGGCAUGAGGAUUGGGUGUUGAGGGACCACUUGCCACAUUGUCCAAGUCCAAAAGGAGUGCACCCCUCAGACCAUCCAGUACAUGGACAUCCUGUACCAGUCUGAUCUGAGCGUGGGGGUCCAGUUAUAGAGACUACAGCACAUCGACCCUGUGGACGGACAGGCCAAUAACUCAUCAAAUAUGAUACAAUAUUGUGUAAAACAUUGAAUUUGUAGAUGCAUCUAGGGCUGUGGCCAUCACAGUAAUUUACUGUUAAUUAACAUAAACACAUUUAAGCAUUUCCUGGCUUCUACACAAGCCACAGAUGCAGACCUUUGGAACAUCUACAUUUUUUUUAAAGUCUAAUAAAUCCAUGUAAUAUAGACUACACCUUCACAAAAAAUCCAUGAUUUAUAUUAGACAGGUCUAAAGAAACAUCAUAUGAAGAAAAUGUAGUCUAUUUCAGAAGAACAUAGGAGCAUACUCUGAGUUGUUAGGUCCUUAUCUGGCUAUGCCAAAUGGCUGUGGGCUACACUAGUUAAUUUAGCAGAGAGGAUUUGCUUAGAAUUCCGUGGCAUUAUUUAAUAGUAUGAAGAAUACAAUUGAACAAAGCUGAAAGGAUAUUUUCUCCAAACGAUUUGAGGGAGUGUGCACAUACGGCUAUUCUGUGUUGAGUGGUUAACAAAGAAAUAGGCAUUCCUAUUUGUACUUAAUUUAGAGUUAUCAAUAUAACUUUAGUAGCUCUACAAACACUGGGCUGUAUGUUUAGAUAUUUAAUACAUUGUAAGGCUGCAUGAUGCGACUCUAAUGAUGAUUUGAAAAAAGUAGCUUGAAAGGCAUGAGCUCUGCUUAGUUUUUUUGCGCAGGCUGAACACACUACAUCAGUCGUUCAGUUUGACAAGCACUUGAUAAUGCCUAGAAUUUCACGGUGGCAGCCCUUUUGUGUGGCUGAAAUGCACCCUAAAAAAAAUAAAUCCAUGCCUUUUACGGCCUGUGGC